AAGGAUUUAAGUUAAUUAAACUUUAAACCUUCAAAGUUUAAAAUAAAGAAUUUAUAUCUUUAAGCCUUA
rnacentral:tRNA from 1 species